CUACUUACCUGGCAGGGGAGACACCAUGAUCACGUAGGUGGUUUUCCCAGGGUGAGGCUCCGCCAUUGCACUUGGGCUUGUGCUGACCCCUGCGAUUUCCCCAAAUGCGGGAAACUCGACUGCAUAAUUGGUGGUAGUGGGGGACUGCGUUCGCGCUCUCCCCGG
rnacentral:snRNA from 1 species